GAACUGAAACAUCUAAGUACCCCGAGGAAAAGAAAUCAACCGAGAUUCCCCCAGUAGCGGCGAGCGAACGGGGAGCAGCCCAGAGCCUGAAUCAGUGUGUGUGUUAGUGGAAGCGUCUGGAAAGGCGCGCGAUACAGGGUGACAGCCCCGUACACAAAAAUGCACAUGCUGUGAGCUCGAUGAGUAGGGCGGGACACGUGGUAUCCUGUCUGAAUAUGGGGGGACCAUCCUCCAAGGCUAAAUACUCCUGACUGACCGAUAGUGAACCAGUACCGUGAGGGAAAGGCGAAAAGAACCCCGGCGAGGGGAGUGAAAAAGAACCUGAAACCGUGUACGUACAAGCAGUGGGAGCACAGAGCAAUCUGUGUGACUGCGUACCUUUUGUAUAAUGGGUCAGCGACUUAUAUUCUGUAGCAAGGUUAACCGAAUAGGGGAGCCGAAGGGAAACCGAGUCUUAACUGGGCGUUAAGUUGCAGGGUAUAGACCCGAAA
rnacentral:rRNA from 1 species